UUUUAGUGGAAAAUGGUCGGGGGUGAAUACCCAACCCACUCGGGAUGGUACUCAAAGAGGGAGAGGCGCCCUAACAAGAACAGAUCGACAACCCCUAGGUAGAGGGAGGUCGUCGUUGGUACAGAUCGUUUUAGGGAGAAAUGGGU